rnacentral:rRNA from 1 species
CGCCAGACUCCUACGGGAGGCAGCAGUGGGGGAUAUUGCACAAUGGGGGAAACCCUGAUGCAGCGACGCCGCGUGGGCGAAGAAGUAUUUCGGUAUGUAAAGCCCUAUCAGCAGGGAAGAAGAAAUGACGGUACCUGAGUAAGAAGCACCAGCUAAAUACGUGCCAGCAGCCGCGGUAAUACGUAGGGAGCGAGCGUUGUCCGGAAUUACUGGGUGUAAAGGGAGCGUAGGCGGGAUUGCAAGUUGGAUGUGAAAACUGCGGGCUCAACCCGGAGCGUGCAUUCAAAACUGCGAUUCUUGAGUGAAGUAGAGGCAAGCGGAAUUCCUAGUGUAACGGUGAAAUGCGUAGAUAUUAGGAGGAACACCAGUGGCGAAGGCGGCUUGCUGGGCUUUUACUGACGCUGAGGCUCGAAAGUGUGGGGAGCAAACAGGAUUAGAUACCCCAGUA